CAUUAGAAUAAGACCUGGGCCGGGGCCGGCGUCAGCCGGCCUGUCGAAGUAGCUAGGCAGUCUCCAACCCUUUGUGAACCACAACUCUGUUGCUUCGGGGGCGACCCCGCCGUCACUGGCGGAGUGCUCCCGGCGGCCAACCAUGAAACUCUGCAUCUCUUUACGUCGGAGUCUUGAAUAGAAUUCAAACAAAACUUUCAACAACGGAUCUCUUGGUUCUGGCAUCGAUGAAGAACGCAGCGAAAUGCGAUAAGUAAUGUGAAUUGCAGAAUUCAGUGAAUCAUCGAAUCUUUGAACGCACACUGCGCCCCGUGGUAUUCCGCGGGGCAUGCCUGUUCGAGCGUCAUUUCACCACUCAAGCCUAGCUUGGUAUUGGGCGCCGCGGUUGAAACAUUCAACUGCGCGCCUUAAAGUCUCCGGCUCAGCAGUCUGUCUCCGAGCGUUGUGACACAUGUCGCUUUGGAGUCCAGUCUGCCGCGGCCGUUAAAUCUUUAAUACAGGUUGACCUCGGAUCAGGUAGGGAUACCC
rnacentral:rRNA from 1 species